rnacentral:rRNA from 1 species
UACGGGGGGGGUAAGCGUUGUUCGGAAUUACUGGGCGUAAAGGGCUCGUAGGCGGCCAACUAAGUCAGACGUGAAAUCCCCAGGCUCAACUUGGGAACUGCGUCUGAUACUGGAUGGCUUGAAUUCGGGAGAGGGAUGCAGAAUUCCAGGUGUAGCGGUGAAAUGCGUAGAUAUCUGGAGGAACACCGGUGGCGAAGGCGGAUCUCUGGGCCUUACCUGACGCUCAGGCGCGAAAGCUAGGGGAGCGAACAGG